rnacentral:misc_RNA from 1 species
GGUUGUCACCAAAUCCAGGAGAGGUAUUUUCCAUUUUCUUUUAUCUUGAUUAUUAUUUUUUAUUAAUUUGGGUUAAUUAAUUAGGCUGUAAUUGACAAAUAUGAGCCUGUAAUUUUGCUGGAUUAGAUUGCCAAAGAUUUUAGCAUAUGUGGUGAUGCUUCAUGAUUGAUUCUUGGUAGUGGGAGAGAAGGAAUACCCACUUAGCAAUUGUAGUCUUUUUAGCUUUUGAUGACCUUAUCGUUAGCAUCUGCAAUACCUGGACCUAGCUUGGCUCUUAAGCAUAAAAAAGAACCCAAAUUUCUUACUAAAAUCCUUGAUUAUCCCAUCAUUGACCCACUUAGUGGAGAAUUAUAUUUAUUGAUCAUUUAUAUCUUCAUUCCAAACUAAUCCAAAACUAAAGGUGAACAUGGUUUUGGCACUUUCAAGGACUUGAUUUUGUGGUAAGAAUCCAAUGAGUUUCACCUAGCCUGAAAUGAUAGAAGCAUAUCAUUCGCUGGCAGACUCAAUAAUAAAGAAUCCAAUGAGUUUUAGCAGCAAGUCCACAUGCCUAUGAAGAGGGUACCCCAAUUAUUUGCAAGAGUUCUGUGGCCCUUUUCCACCGACAGGAGGAGGAUGAGCGAUCCAAGUGAUUAAUUGGUAUACUUGAUGAAAAAUCAACUAGUUUCCUAGCUGUGUUCCACACAUUCUCCUACCCCACCACAACUAAGAUGCUAACAAUAGCUAGCUGCAAUUAUUUAUUUAUUUAUUGCAUGUUUUAUUCUGUCUUCUCUGUUAAUUAAUACAACUGUGUGGUUAGUUCAUUGGUUUGUUUAGCAUUCAAUAAGCUCAAAUGGGUUGUUUGAUAAAUUUGUUUAACGUGCAGGGAAGCUAAUGGAAGUAGCUUG